UACGGGGGGGGCAAGCGUUGUUCGGAAUUACUGGGCGUAAAGGGCUCGUAGGUGGCCAACUAAGUCAGACGUGAAAUCCCUCGGCUUAACCGGGGAACUGCGUCUGAUACUGGUUGGCUUGAGUUUGGGAGAGGGAUGCGGAAUUCCAGGUGUAGCGGUGAAAUGCGUAGAUAUCGGGAAGAACACCCGUGGCGAAGGCGGUUCUCUGGGACGGUACUGACGCUGAGACGCGAAAGCGUGGGGAGCGAACAGG
rnacentral:rRNA from 1 species